CCCAGACUCCUACGGGAGGCAGCAGUGGGGAAUAUUGCACAAUGGGGGAAACCCUGAUGCAGCAACGCCGCGUGAGUGAAGAAGUAUUUCGGUAUGUAAAGCUCUAUCAGCAGGGAAGAAAAUGACGGUACCUGAGUAAGAAGCUCCGGCUAACUACGCACCAGCAGCCGCGGUAAUACGUAGGGAGCAAGCGUUGUCCGGAAUUACUGGGCGUAAAGGGCGCGUAGGUGGGCGCUUAAGUCAGGUGUGAAAACUCGGGGCUCAACCUGGAGACUGCACUUGAAACUGGGUGUCAUGAGGGCAGGAGAGGAAAGGGGAAUUCCUGGUGUAGCGGUGAAAUGCGUGAAUAUUAGGAGGAACACCAGUGGCGAAGGCGACUUUCUGGACUGUACCUGACGCUGAGGCAUGAGAGCAUGGGGAGCAAACAGGAUUAGAUCCC
rnacentral:rRNA from 1 species